rnacentral:tRNA from 1 species
GCGGAUGUGGCGAAAUUGGUAGACGCACCAGAUUUAGGUUCUGGCGGGAGACCGUGGGGUUCGAGUCCCCCUCCAUCCGCACCA